rnacentral:lncRNA from 1 species
CUUUCCCGCCUGCUGCUGCUGCACGGUCCGGCCGCGUGGCACCCGUGCCUGACGUUGGACGGCCACUGCCGACUUGAGAGAGACGUUCCACGGCGUCUGGGGAGCGGGGCAGGCAGGGGUGCCCCUGCCUGUCCUCUGGAGCCGCUGCACACAGCCCCUCCCCUGCCCGGCUGCAGCGGCCCGGUCGGCCUGAGCUGCGGGGCUGCCUCUGGGGCAGCUUCCUUCAGCUCCACCUCCAGAGAAGGGGCCGCUGGGACUCUCCUCAGAGCCCGCUUUGGCCUUGCGUAUAUGGGGCCGGUGGGGGCAAUCUCUCGCAAGGGGGGCGUCGUCGUGAAAUUGUUGGGAAAAAUGCGAAGAGUCGCUGCUGUUCGAGAGGGGAGAACUAAGACUUCUAAUUGCAGAGGAUGAACACAGGCAUUAAAAAGGCAAGAAGACACAGUUAAUCAUGACGUUUUGUGUCAAUUUCUUGAUCUACUUACAAACAGACAGUGAAGCUGAGUCGGCACUAGGAUCGCCCACAGGAUUUCCCAGGAGCUGCAGACAGUGAGAAGCAGCUCAUGGCCAUGGGUUCCCCAACUACCUGCAGUCCCCAUGCACUGUCUCAUUUGGGAUGGGAAUCAGAG